AACGAACGCUGGCGGCAUGCCUAACACAUGCAAGUCGAACGAGACCUUCGGGUCUAGUGGCGCACGGGUGCGUUACGCGUGGGAACCUGCCCUUAGGUUCGGAAUAACUCCCCGAAAGGGGUGCUAAUACCGGAUAAUGUCUUCGGACCAAAGAUUUAUCGCCUUUGGAUGGGCCCGCGUUGGAUUAGCUAGUUGGUAGGGUAAAAGCCUACCAAGGCGACGAUCCAUAGCUGGUCUGAGAGGAUGGUCAGCCACACUGGGACUGAGACACGGCCCAGACUCCUACGGGAGGCAGCAGUGGGGAAUAUUGGACAAUGGGCGAAAGCCUGAUCCAGCAAUGCCGCGUGAGUGAUGAAGGCCUUAGGGUUGUAAAGCUCUUUUACCCGGGAUGAUAAUGACAGUACCGGGAGAAUAAGCUCCGGCUAACUCCGUG
rnacentral:rRNA from 1 species